ACUCUAGUCUGACGUUGUGAAAUGACUUGGGAGGUGUAGAAUAAGUGGGAGGCUCUGCCGUCUGUGAAAUACCACUACUCUCAAUGUUGUUUUACUUAUACCAUGAUGUAGCAUCUGUGUGGCCUCGCGGUCGCUCAGUUCUAGUUGUAAACUUGGGCUUUUGCCUGGGUGAGCUACGUGGAAGACAUCGUCAGGUGGGGAGU
rfam:Phytophthora infestans T30-4 supercont1.52 genomic scaffold, whole genome shotgun sequence.